UGCAGUCGAACGGCAGCACAGAGGAGCUUGCUCCUUGGGUGGCGAGUGGCGGACGGGUGAGGAAUACAUCGGAAUCUACUUUUUCGUGGGGGAUAACGUAGGGAAACUUACGCUAAUACCGCAUACGACCUACGGGUGAAAGCAGGGGACCUUCGGACCUUGCGCGAUUGAAUGAGCCGAUGUCGGAUUAGCUAGUUGGCGGGGUAAAGGCCCACCAAGGCGACGAUCCGUAGCUGGUCUGAGAGGAUGAUCAGCCACACUGGAACUGAGACACGGUCCAGACUCCUACGGGAGGCAGCAGUGGGGAAUAUUGGACAAUGGGCGCAAGCCUGAUCCAGCCAUACCGCGUGGGUGAAGAAGGCCUUCGGGUUGUAAAGCCCUUUUGUUGGGAAAGAAAUCCAGCCGGCUAAUACCUGGUUGGGAUGACGGUACCCAAAGAAUAAGCACCGGCUAACUUCGUGCCAGCAGCCGCGGUAAUACGAAGGGUGCAAGCGUUACUCGGAAUUACUGGGCGUAAAGCGUGCGUAGGUGGUUGUUUAAGUCUGUUGUGAAAGCCCUGGGCUCAACCUGGGAACUGCAGUGGAAACUGGACAACUAGAGUGUGGUAGAGGGUAGCGGAAUUCCCGGUGUAGCAGUGAAAUGCGUAGAGAUCGGGAGGAACAUCCAUGGCGAAGGCAGCUACCUGGAC
rnacentral:rRNA from 1 species